UGGAAAGCUCAACAUAAGACGCGUAAUACUUAUUUUAAGUUCGAACCGGAGUCACUGUCUCGUAAGUUUCUAGGCAAGUGGGAAACAACUGUAAACACUUAACACUCUUAUCACGCUCUGUCAUCCUCACACGUUCUCUCAUUCUCAAAUUUGAGAACUCAGACUCUCUCUUUUGGAAAAGCACACAAAACACUCCAAGGACUCUCCUAAUAUAGUAUAAGUCCAAAAACUGUGGAGAUGCAAGUUUUGAUUCUGGUAACACGAUAUCCGACCGAUGCCUGACCGUUAAGUUCGGGUCGAGUUUUAUUCGGUUUACAAGGUUCUAUCGGUCGACAACGGGUGGGAUGAUUCUCAACCCGAAUGAUUCGGGUCGAGUGCAGGUGCACUUCAAACCCGAUUCGCCCGACCCGUGGACAGCCCUACACAGUACACUCCACAAUGGGGAUGGAUCGCCACCACGUCAACGGGUGGAUAGAAAAAGAGAAAAAUAGGCAAAAUUCCAACUGGUCCUCAACUUAAUACCCUCACUGCCACUUCAUAUGAAAUGAACCCAAAUCUUUGUGGAUUUCCACUUCCAGACAAAUGUUUAGGAGAAGAAAUGACUCAAAACUCAGUUGAGAAUAGAGGCAGUGAACGUGCUAGCAUACAAGAGGAGGAAGAUGGGUUUAUAACAAUGGGGUUUUAUGUUAGUAUGGCCCUCGGAGUUGUUGUUGGUUUUUGGGGAGUUUUUGGCACAUUAGUACUAAACAAGUCAUGGCGAUUCUCCUAUUUCAAGUUCUUGGACAUUGUCAAAGAUAAGAUAUAUGUGACAGGAGCAGUGAAUAUGAAUAAAUUACGGAGGCAGCUUCAAACAUAAUUGGUCCGAAAUUCAGACAUCACAACUGCUGAGCCACAAGGAAGGAAAUAGGGAUGCCAUACACAGGAACGGAUUGGAUCAGUUUGAAUUUAAAUGCAGCAGCAGAUGAGGAUAAAUAAAAGAUCAGAUUGUAUUGUCUUUCAAUUGAAUUUACGUGUAACUGAUGGGAGUUGGUUCCUAUCUUUUAGGAUAGAUUAUUUCAGUCUUAUUUAUGUACUCCAUAUUAAAAACAAUAAAACUCUCUCACUCUCUCUCAUGUUCAUGAGGUUAUAGUCACCUUGAAUCUUCUCAAGUACAACUGGGUUAAUUAAAUUUUCAAUAAAUUAUGGGUUUACAUUUUGGAAGUGUAAAAGGGGUUUGAAGUUGUAGUGAAUAGUUUGAAAAAGGUGGGAGUUGAAUUUUUUGGAAUAGACUCAAAAAACAAAGUUGAAGGCUUCGUUUGGUACAUGUGUUUAAACAUAUGUUUUCAGUUUUUAAACAGCAUUAUACAUAUUUUCAUAUACUUUUUUACCUACAUAUAUUUCCAAAAAAACUACACAUUAUUAUUUAAACACACGUACCAAACGAGCCCGAAAUCUCUCACGUUUUGGGGUUUUAAAAAGUGGGAAGAAUGGGUUCUUUGACACAUCUUAAUAACGGUUUUGUUACUAAUACUAUAAUAAUAAUGCCACUUGAAGGAAUUGUUGAUCUACCACUGUCCACUUCUCCAUGAAUGUUGCGAAAAAGGGAUCGGAGAGGACUGGCCAAAGAUUUCUCACAUCCCAAAAAAUGAAAAUUGAUUACAAAUAUGUGCUAAGAGACAAUUAACAUCCAAUUUGAUUCAGACUGACAUUCAACGGUUAUGCUAUUCUUUUGGGCCUGUAGUUGGAGGAUGACGAGAGAUGAACCAUCUCAAUCACCAAAUUCUUCGGAGUUGCAUCCUUAAUCCACAAAAAACACCCGUAUUCAUACAUCACCUAGCAACUGCAGCAAUUGUACAUCCUUGUUGGAAAUCUUCAUAUCAAUACUUAAUGUAUUCGGCAUAAGAUACAAGUGACAAAUUAACUUUGACAUAUUGAGAGCCUCACCCCCAAAAGAAAUGGUGAUUUUCCCACUACAAGCCAGCCUACUAUUGAGCAGCAAGCAGAUUGUUUGAACCUAGUCCAAAGGAUUGGGAAAAGAUGUGUUGUCCAAAAAUGAAGCAGAAAGUCUAGAAACCUUGUUGGCUAUCAAUGGUACUAUAAUUUUGUUCUUUAAUAUUUAAAUAUUUCAGUUGUAACCUCUUCCACUGUUUUCUUUGGUCUUGUUUAUUUAUAUGUGAACAUAUUGUCAAGAAUCCUUAAAGGAUCAUCAUUGGUCAAUCCAGGGUGCUGAGUGGAGCACAGCCAUCUUGUAGCUAAGAACAUAGGAUUCAUGGCAAUGUAUGCUAAUUGUGAUGUGGAUUGUUGCUUGAUUCCUGAGUCACCCUUUUACCUGAAGGAGUUGUUGGAGAAUUUGGAAAUAAGCUAAUCCAGGACAAGACUCUGCUGCUAUCUAAAAAAUUUAAGGAAAAUUAUGUGGGGGUAAAUGAUUUCCUCCCCCCCCCCCCCCCCCCCCCACUCUCUUGCGGCGGCAAGAAAUUCUAAUCGUAAAGAUGAAAAGUUCUUCCAAGUAAUCACUAAUCACAAGGUCAGUAAUUAUCAAUUUAUGAAUUUCUAGCUUUAGUUUUUGGGGUUUAGUAUACUAUCUACUUUGCUAAUUAUCAAUGUUUUAUGUUGUGGAUUUAGGAGGUUGAAUAUAGAAGCAUAUAGAUUUCUUGUCCUGGUGAUUGAAUAGUUUUUUGCCUUGGUAGAGGGGGAAGAGUGGGAUGACCCCUGUUUCUUACCAUUGGUUGAUUGUUACACAAUUUUGGAAUGAAAUUUUGAAUUUGAACAUACCUGAAGUUGAAAUCAAUAGGUGAAGAAAAAGAGAUUAAGGCAUUGAAUUCAUAUUACAUUGGUUCAAUCUGGGCUCUUCAAUUCUAAUUCACCUACAGGUACUUUUAUGUUUCUUUUCUUCUUGUGAUGCUGUUACAUUUGCUUUAUAAUCCAAGGUCAGUAACUUCUAUCUCCAGCCUUUAUGGGCCCAGGAAUAUUUUGAAUUCAUUCAAGAACAUCAUGCACAAAUGUUCCGUCCUCAUUCGGCCUCAUCCAAUCUUAACAUAAUCAGAAGGAAGUGUUUGUAAAAAGGCCCAAUAUCAAUUUCAAGAUGCAGCAGCAGCAAGGUUAACCUGGAAUUCUAGUUUCUUUAAUAGUCCAUCUAGUUUGAUAACAUAUGAAAAACAAACUAGGUAUUUUUCAGUGGUACCUUUAUUUAGCUUUCCCUCUAUGAUUUUGAAUAGUUGAAACCUUUUAUUUUAUUUUAUUUAACAUUUUUUUAGAAGAAAGAGGGAAGCUCUCAUAACUAAAAUCUAUAAUUGCUAAUUUUGUAGUCUUAAUGUUAUAGGGUUAGGUACUUGCUAUUUUUCAAGUUUCUUAGUCAGUAUCUUAUGCUUGUUCUGUAUCAGAGCCAAAUUCUUUCUCAGCAUGAAAGAGUGCAAAGUAUGGGAAGUGGCUGCCAGUAGGGAUGAAGUUAUUAUCAAUUCAUUGGCUUCAUUAGUUGGAUUAGGUAACAAUUGCAUAAUCUCUUUACCCAGAACAACAUUAUUGGAAGUGAACUGAAUUUCUAAUUGGUUUAUUGUGACUUCUACACUCUCUUAGGUUAAUCAUGUUUAGCUAGAGUUUCCUCAAUUUGCUCAUAAAUAUUGUUUCUUUUGUCCUGAAUCCCUAACCUUGUUUUUAAAAUUUUGUAGUCUAAACCUAUUGGAGAAGUAAAUUUUAUACUGGUGAAAAUUGUUAAGCAGGGUUGCUCCCCAGAUAGCCUUGUCUUACAAUUUGGCACAAGAUAGUGAUUGAUGAAGCUCCACAGGCAAAGCUCAAUAUGCCAGAAUAACGAAGCUCCCUUUUUUAUUCGUCCUGAAUCAUUGACCUUGUAUAUAGAACUCUAUUCUCAGUUCAUGGAUGCAACAAAAACUGAUAGAUGAUGCUCCAUUCAACAUGAUGAAUGUAGCAUGCCUUGGAUGUCAAGCACUUAUGCAUGAACAAGAAACUGGGCAAUUGCUUUUAUGUGUAUCUGUAAAUUAUUCUUAAUUUUUAUUUUGAAUGUGAAUGAUGUUUAUCUCCAUCCAAGAAGAUGCUUGUAUUUGUGGCAAAAUUGAUUUGUAUAAGCAGUGCUUUUGUUAAA